GUACACUCCUGCGGGAGGCAGCAGUGGGGAAUAUUGCACAAUGGGCGCAAGCCUGAUGCAGCCAUGCCGCGUGUAUGAAGAAGGCCUUCGGGUUGUAAAGUACUUUCAGCGGGGAGGAAGGCGAUAAGGUUAAUAACCUUGUCGAUUGACGUUACCCGCAGAAGAAGCACCGGCUAACUCCGUGCCAGCAGCCGCGGUAAUACGGAGGGUGCAAGCGUUAAUCGGAAUUACUGGGCGUAAAGCGCACGCAGGCGGUCUGUCAAGUCGGAUGUGAAAUCCCCGGGCUCAACCUGGGAACUGCAUUCGAAACUGGCAGGCUAGAGUCUUGUAGAGGGGGGUAGAAUUCCAGGUGUAGCGGUGAAAUGCGUAGAGAUCUGGAGGAAUACCGGUGGCGAAGGCGGCCCCCUGGACAAAGACUGACGCUCAGGUGCGAAAGCGUGGGGAGCAAACAGGAUUAGAAACCCGGGUAGUCCCAUGA
rnacentral:rRNA from 1 species